GAUGAACGCUGACAGAAUGCUUAACACAUGCAAGUCUUUGGCGAAGCUGUGCUUGCACAGCCUAGCCAAGGCGGACGGGUGAGUAACGCGUAAGGAACUUGCCCUGCAGUCAGGGAUAACAGACGGAAACGACUGAUAAGACCUGGUAAAGUCAGGCGGACUCAUGUCCAGCCUGAUGAAAAGAGAUGCUGCAGGAGAGCCUUGCGUCCUAUUAGCUUGUUGGUGGGGUAACGGCCCACCAAGGCGAUGAUAGGUAGCCGGCCUGGGAGGGUGGACGGCCACAAGGGGACUGAGAUACGGCCCUUACUCCUACGGGAGGCAGCAGUGGGGAAUAUUGGACAAUGGGGGCAACCCUGAUCCAGCAAUUCUGUGUGCACGAUGAAGGUUUUCGGAUUGUAAAGUGCUUUCAGCAGGGAAGAAAAAAUGACGGUACCUGCAGAAGAAGCGACGGCUAAAUACGU
rnacentral:rRNA from 1 species